UAAAGGAAAUAAGAGCGCACAGUGGAUGCCUAGGCACCAAGAG
rnacentral:rRNA from 2 species